GGUUAAGCGACUAAGCGUACACGGUGGAUGCCCUGGCAGUCAGAGGCGAUGAAGGGCGUGCUAAUCUGCGAUAAGCGCCGGUAAGGUGAUAUGAACCGUUAUAACCGGCGAUACCCGAAUGGGGAAACCCAGUGUGACUCGUCACACUAUCAUUAACUGAAUCCAUAGGUUAAUGAGGCGAACCGGGGGAACUGAAACAUCUAAGUACCCCGAGGAAAAGAAAUCAACCGAGAUUCCCCCAGUAGCGGCGAGCGAACGGGGAGGAGCCCAGAGCCUGAAUCAGCAUGUGUGUUAGUGGAAGCGUCUGGAAAGGCGCGCGAUACAGGGUGACAGCCCCGUACACAAAAGCGCAUGUGCUGUGAGCUCGAUGAGUAGGGCGGGACACGUGGUAUCCUGUCUGAAUAUGGGGGGACCAUCCUCCAAGGCUAAAUACUCCUGACUGACCGAUAGUGAACCAGUACCGUGGGGGAAAGGCGAAAAGAACCCCGGCGAGGGGAGUGAAAAAGAACCUGAAACCGUGUACGUACAAGCAGUGGGAGCCCCACCACUAAGCCAGUGGUGAACUCCACAUACGCAUCCUUUGCUGAGGAUACGGUUAACGGAGCGAAAGCGACGUUCAACCGCAAAAGAAGCAGAGGGGGCUUAGUGGUGGGGUGACUGCGUACCUUUUGUAUAAUGGGUCAGCGACUUAUAUUCUGUAGCAAGGUUAACCGAAUAGGGGAGCCGGAGGGAAACCGAGUCUUAAUUGGGCGUUAAGUUGCAGGGUAUAGACCCGAAACCCGGUGAUCUAGCCAUGGGCAGGUUGAAGGUUGGGUAACACUAACUGGAGGACCGAACCGACUAAUGUUGAAAAAUUAGCGGAUGACCUGUGGCUGGGGGUGAAAGGCCAAUCAAACCGGGAGAUAGCUGGUUCUCCCCGAAAGCUAUUUAGGUAGCGCCUCGUGAAUUCAUCUCCGGGGGUAGAGCACUGUUUCGGCUAGGGGGCCAUCCCGGCUUACCAACCCGAUGCAAACUGCGAAUACCGGAGAAUGUUAUCACGGGAGACACACGGCGGGUGCUAACGUCCGUCGUGAAGAGGGAAACAACCCAGACCGCCAGCUAAGGUCCCAAAGUCAUGGUUAAGUGGGAAACGAUGUGGGAAGGCCCAGACAGCCAGGAUGUUGGCUUAGAAGCAGCCAUCAUUUAAAGAAAGCGUAAUAGCUCACUGGUCGAGUCGGCCUGCGCGGAAGAUGUAACGGGGCUAAACCAUGCACCGAAGCUGCGGCAGCGACACUGUGUGUUGUUGGGUAGGGGAGCGUUCUGUAAGCCUGUGAAGGUGUGUCGUGAGGCAUGCUGGAGGUAUCAGAAGUGCGAAUGCUGACAUAAGUAACGAUAAAGCGGGUGAAAAGCCCGCUCGCCGGAAGACCAAGGGUUCCUGUCCAACGUUAAUCGGGGCAGGGUGAGUCGACCCCUAAGGCGAGGCCGAAAGGCGUAGUCGAUGGGAAACGGGUUAAUAUUCCCGUACUUGGUGUUACUGCGAAGGGGGGACGGAGAAGGCUAUGUUGGCCGGGCGACGGUUGUCCCGGUUUAAGCGUGUAGGUGUGUGUUCCAGGUAAAUCCGGUUCACUUUAACACUGAGGCGUGACGACGAGGCACUACGGUGCUGAAGCAACAAAUGCCCUGCUUCCAGGAAAAGCCUCUAAGCAUCAGGUAACAUCAAAUCGUACCCCAAACCGACACAGGUGGUCAGGUAGAGAAUACCAAGGCGCUUGAGAGAACUCGGGUGAAGGAACUAGGCAAAAUGGUGCCGUAACUUCGGGAGAAGGCACGCUGACACGUAGGUGAAGUGAUUUACUCAUGGAGCUGAAGUCAGUCGAAGAUACCAGCUGGCUGCAACUGUUUAUUAAAAACACAGCACUGUGCAAACACGAAAGUGGACGUAUACGGUGUGACGCCUGCCCGGUGCCGGAAGGUUAAUUGAUGGGGUCAGCGCAAGCGAAGCUCCUGAUCGAAGCCCCGGUAAACGGCGGCCGUAACUAUAACGGUCCUAAGGUAGCGAAAUUCCUUGUCGGGUAAGUUCCGACCUGCACGAAUGGCGUAAUGAUGGCCAGGCUGUCUCCACCCGAGACUCAGUGAAAUUGAACUCGCUGUGAAGAUGCAGUGUACCCGCGGCAAGACGGAAAGACCCCGUGAACCUUUACUAUAGCUUGACACUGAACAUUGAGCCUUGAUGUGUAGGAUAGGUGGGAGGCUUUGAAGUGUGGACGCCAGUCUGCAUGGAGCCGACCUUGAAAUACCACCCUUUAAUGUUUGAUGUUCUAACGUGGACCCGUUACCCGGGUUGCGGACAGUGUCUGGUGGGUAGUUUGACUGGGGCGGUCUCCUCCUAAAGAGUAACGGAGGAGCACGAAGGUUGGCUAAUCCUGGUCGGACAUCAGGAGGUUAGUGCAAUGGCAUAAGCCAGCUUGACUGCGAGCGUGACGGCGCGAGCAGGUGCGAAAGCAGGUCAUAGUGAUCCGGUGGUUCUGAAUGGAAGGGCCAUCGCUCAACGGAUAAAAGGUACUCCGGGGAUAACAGGCUGAUACCGCCCAAGAGUUCAUAUCGACGGCGGUGUUUGGCACCUCGAUGUCGGCUCAUCACAUCCUGGGGCUGAAGUAGGUCCCAAGGGUAUGGCUGUUCGCCAUUUAAAGUGGUACGCGAGCUGGGUUUAGAACGUCGUGAGACAGUUCGGUCCCUAUCUGCCGUGGGCGCUGGAGAACUGAGGGGGGCUGCUCCUAGUACGAGAGGACCGGAGUGGACGCAUCACUGGUGUUCGGGUUGUCAUGCCAAUGGCACUGCCCGGUAGCUAAAUGCGGAAGAGAUAAGUGCUGAAAGCAUCUAAGCACGAAACUUGCCCCGAGAUGAGUUCUCCCUGAGACUUAGAGUCUCCUGAAGGAACGUUGAAGACGACGACGUUGAUAGGCCGGGUGUGUAAGCGCAGCGAUGCGUUGAGCUAACCGGUACUAAUGAACCGUGAGGCUUAACCUU
rnacentral:rRNA from 1 species